rnacentral:lncRNA from 1 species
GCUGUCACAUCUGGUAGUUCAGUGAAGGCGUUUAUUACCAUUAUAGACUUGGAGAAGAAACAAAUCAAGAAAACAAUUUCACUAGAUUCCAAAAGUUAUGGUAUAGCACUGAACAAUAAUCAAUUGAUUUAUUCCGGUUGCGACAAAGGAAUACGAAUGAUCGACCUCAACGACGAGUCGAUAAGUGACAUAGUCCGAGACAAAAUGCCCAGUGACUGUUACACUGCAACAGUUACGGACAAAAUAUAUCAUACAAACAGAGAAACAAGCACUGUAACAUGUUAUAAUCAACAAGGUAAAAUACAAUGGAUAUUCUUAAAUAAAAGCGUUCUAAAGAAUCCCUGAGGUAUAGAUGUGGAUAAUGAUGGCAACGUGUACGUGGUGGGGUUCUCGUCAAACAAUGUGGUAGUUAUCUCCCCUGAUGGACAACGACAUAGAGAAGUGUUGACAACAGAUGAUGGUCUAAGACAUCCUGUUUCACUCCAUUAUAGCGAACCAACGAACCAGUUGAUUAUCGCAAACUUCAAUUACAAUGCUCAUUUGUUUGAUGUUAUUUAAACAAAUUUAUAGUUAAAACUUCUUAAACUUUAGGUCAUUCUGAGCAGUGUUUAAAAUAUCUAGAAUUUUGAAACCUAUUUAGUUACUUUCUGACAGAAAUAUAAUAUGUAGUGUGUGUUUUAAACGUAUUCAUUUACAAAUUAUAUAUAGUUAUUGCUAUUAUAUCAUUAAACAUGUGUAUUUUAAUACAUUUAAUGGAAUGAGAACACAAGUAUCAUCACAAACCAGAAACGAUGUUGUCAGUAAAUAAAUUUUAUAGAAAUAAAACAACGAGAUGUGGUGUGAUUGCAAAUGAGGCAACUACUCACCACAGACCAAAUGACGUAGGUCACUGAGAUUAUCGCUACUAUUAAUAAACUACCAUCCAGCACCAAAUUUUCGAGAUACAAAUAUUUUUUCAUGACAAAAUACAACUAUUGACAAAGUAACUUAAUUGGGACAGGCACAUGCACAUAUGGCGAGGACGUCUUAUAUAAAUCGCCAAUAGAAUAACAAAAGUUAUACUAAAUUACAAAAUCAUUAUAAAUGAAUAUAAGUAAUUACAAAAUUAAUGAUAAUGACUGUAUAAUACAACAUGUUAGUUCAAACGCAUAUGCUUGAGCCGACAGGUCUCAUUAUUAGUUGUAGUCUGUACCUAAAAAGCAUAAAUGAUUGUCUAUAUCACUUUGUUUGUUGAUAAGUUGAGAGAAUAAAUUGUUGACAAUUGUCAUGUUUUAGCGAUCAGUAUUUUUCAUGAUAGAAGGUUUCUUGAUUGGUUUGGAAGAAGACAUGAUGUGACAUAGUUACUUCAGUGGUAAAUUUUAAGCUUGCGAGGUGUAGACUAUUCCUUAUAAGUUUACAGGAUGAAGGUCAACAUUAUUUUUGGUUUGUAGUUUUCUAUAAAUGUGACUUACAAUAUUUAUGAGGAUUGUUUGCACCUGAGCUUCAUCCAGUCUGUUUUUUGAUUGAGGUUUUGAUAAUGUCAAGUUUUACGCACCUCAUUAUAAUAAUAUCAGGAGAAAAUUCAAAUACCUAAAUAGGAGAGAAAUUUUAGUAUCUCCAAUAAUUUUAAAGGAACUGGCAUAUAUUUCACUAUAAGAAUUUCAAAUAUAUCUUUAUUUGGUAUCAGUUCUCCAAAACAAUAAAACUAUAAAUAGUAGUAUUAUUACGACACAAUUCAAUUAAAAACAAAAACACGUUUUUUUUUCCACAAAAAAAGAAAAUGACAAUGUAUUUUCAAAUACUGAAAAAAAUGCAAGCAUGAGAUCUUUAAAUCAGAGAAAAAUCAAACCUAAAAUAUAUUUCUAACUGCAGUGGCGGAUUCAAGGAGUGUAAACGUAGUGCAUAUCCUUAAAAUCAGACGUUAUAUCGUGUUUCCCAUGCAAUCGUUGAAAUAAUCAUCUUGCUACUCUUAAAUAUUUUUAAUCAUUUUGUCCAUGUGUAGAUCUGAAAUAUUUUUCUUUGUUUGUACUUUUUUUUUAUGCCAAACUGUGAUUGAUAUCGACAUUGAAGGACAAACACUCAAAUAGCAAGUGGUCAACUGAUGAUUUCAAUCAUGUUGACUUUUUUCUUGAUUUGUAACCAUUUGUUAUAAAUGUCUAGGAUAAAAUUUUAAGUUUGAUAUACCAACACAAAAAAAACGACAAUAAUACGGGGAAUGCAUAUUUCAAAGAAAAAAGGUAAUGUUUAUGAUUUAUUUGUUAAGUCCACGAUAAAUUCUUUCUUUUGUUAUGUUUUCAAUUCUUCCUAAUAAACUAAUGACUUAAACACGUGAAAUUUGUAGAAUGAUUUAUUUUACUUUCGUUUUGGGCUUGGGCAUAAUCCAUAAUUAUCUUCAUGUAUGUUAUGUCCCAAUUCUAGGACAAGUUAUUUUUUUCGUUAAUAAUAUGUUCAUUUGUACACGAAAUUCGAUCUAUAUAGUACCAUCAAUAAUUGGAACUACAUAUAUACACGUUUACGAAAUCAUUCAUUUAGCAGGUAAAGGAAAUGGAACUUUAUCUAUAUAUUUUCCAUAAUCUUUUAUAAAAGUUUAAGGCCCGGUUUUAUUAAUUCUAAAUAUUUGACCCUGUACUAUUCACAAGCUCCAAUCAUUCAAAUUCAUUUCAUUUUGGAUAUCAAAAACUGUGGAGGUGUAAUACCACCAAAUCAUGGUACGUCACAUCCGGUUGUAUACGAAAGUAGGUCUAAAAAAAUUCCCUUGAAUUUGACAGUUGUAGGUAAUUAAUUCUACAUUUUAUUGCAGUAAAAACAUUUCUGUGUCAUAAACAUAUGUCUUGGGUAUUUCAAAAUUGAGGUUACAUGGUGACUAAACCUUGUACACAGAUAAAAUAAGGGGAGACAUUUGAUUGGUUAACUUCCAAUGAUGGUUAUUUUCUUAUAUGCAAUGAAAUGUUAUGUGAAUUUUUUUCUAUAGUACUGGACAGGAUAAAACUUUAAUCAUGCCAAGUAAUUCUUUAUUUGAAACAUAGAUAAAUUCUGCACAUUUUUUUGAAAAGUGCAAAUUUAACAAAGACUAAUAGGGGAAAAUCAAUGGUGGUAUUACACCUGGAAUGAGAUAAAUGAGAAUUAUUUCGAUAGAUUGAUUAUUGAUAUUAAUUAACUCCAUUUUCAGUAAUCAUGGCUAUAUUAUGAAACCUGUUUAAAUUGAUGUAGAACACCAGAUAGCCUCAGGCAACUCUCUUCGACAGGCGAACUAAAUUAAGCUGCCAAGUUUGAUGUUGGGAGCUGAUAGAGGUGCUGUUGUUUUAAACUUUUAAAUCAGCUAUUGUUAUUUGCAGUAUGUGUGUGAAAUGGCAACAGCUACUGAGACUUGUGGUGUUUGUGAACUCCGUCAUAUCACCAAACCACCCAUAAUCUGGUGUUCAGAUGAUGAGGGACUAUGUACAACAUGGCAGGAGCAUCACAGUUUGUCUAAAGAAACCAGAAACCAUAUAGUGAUACCAAUUACUGAAUAUACGAAAUUACCAGCUGAUGUAAUAAUGAUUAGUCAAAACUGUAGUAAACACGACAAAAAGUAUCAAACGUAUUACCAGAAGCAUGAAUGCCCCUGAUGCAACAAAUAUAUCGUGGAAAGCCAUACCGAAUGUCGAGAUUUCGUCGAAUUAGAUGACGUCAUUCACAAUGAUAGUACCGACCGUUCAAACAAGACCCAUUGAAAAUAUAACGUCAACGAAACAAAAGACCAUCAAUAAUCAAUGACACUCAAUCUACGGAUUUUGCAUGCUGUCAGAUGGUAGAUUUGCAUUUACUUACUACUAUAAUUGUAAGGUAACUGUAUUUAACGUGAACGGAUUAAAGGAUUUUGAAGUGUAAUGUAUUUGAUAUAGUGAACAUCAGUGAAAGCAAUGCAUUGACUGUUACAUCUGGUAGUUCAGAAGAGGUGUAUAACCAUUAUCGACUUUGAGAAAAAACAAAUCAAUAAACAAUUUUACUGGGUUCGUAUAAUUAUGGAGUAUCAUUGAAAGGUAAUCGAUUGAUUUAUUCCGGUUACGACAAAGGAAUACGAAUGAUCGACCAUAACGACGAAUCUAUUAGUGGCAUAGUCCGAGACAAAAUACCCCCUCAAUCUUACAUUGCAACAUGUUUUAACAUGAUAUAUCAUAAUCAUACAAACAACCUACAAAACACUGUCACAUGUUAUAAUCUACAAUGGGAAAUACAAUGGAGAUUCCAAAAUAAAAGCGUUCUGAAGAAUCCUCGAGGUAUAGAUGUCGAUGGUGAUGGUAAUAUAUACGUGAUGAGGUACAGUUCAAACAAUGCUGUAGUUAUCUCUCCUGAUGUACAACGACAUAGAGAGGUAUUGACAACAGAUGAUGGUCUCAGUAACCCUAUGUCACUUCAUUAUAGUGGAUCAAAGAAUCAGUUGCUAGUCGC